UAAAGAGAUAAGAUCAUUAAACAGACCAAAAUCAGAGACACAAAAAGAGACAGUCAGUGAGUGUGAGUGGCUUUUGGUGUGGCGAUGGCAUCUACAGCUUCGGCUCUGUCAUGGAGUUCUUCUUCGUGGCUCAAGAGCUUCGGUGGAAACUCAAACGAAGCUUCUAAACUAUCGGAUAGAAGAACAGCCUUGGUCAUUUUGGCUCAGAAGAAAGCCAAGAAGACCCGAAAGGUAAUUUUGAAGGAGGACGUGGAAUACCUGGGAAAGAUGGGGCAGCUACUUGAUGUUAAAGCUGGGUUUUAUAGGAAUUUUUUGCUGCCUACGGGAAAGGCCCAGAUUGUCACUCCCAUUCUGCUCAAGGAAAUGCGAAUGGAAGAGGAGAGAAUUGAGGCUGAGAAAAAACGGGUAAAAGAAGAGGCACAGCAACUUGCUCUGAUCUUUGAAACUGUUGGAGCUUUUAAGGUGAAGCGCAAAGGUGGGAAAGGGAAACAAAUUUUUGGAAGUGUAACUGCUCAAGAUCUUGUUGACAUAAUCAAGGCACAACUUCAGAGGGAUGUGGACAAGAGAAUUGUUUCUCUUCCAGAAAUCCGGGAAACGGGAGAAUAUAUUGCAGAGCUGAAGCUUCACCCAGAAGUUACCGCUCGAGUGAGGUUAAAUGUGUUUGCCAACUAAGAGCCAGCACCUUGUGGUGCCCCAAGCUCUGGUUGGAACAUUUGUGCUACUAGCUUGCACAUCUAAGGAGGAGCACGAUUGAUGUAAUAUCGGAGUAAUGUGGAUGCCUAAUGGGGAUUGACAUAUGUGUAAUUAUGCUUGUGUGUAAUUAUAUUAAUCCAAUUUGCUUACAGCUUUGCCAUUUUUACUGUUGUUAGUUCAACCUCCAUCUCCUGUAUGUUAGGCUCUAAAGAACCAAGCCGUUUGUUUUGUUUCAAAUUUGCACAUUCUUUUUUUAGGUAUUUAGUUGGUUCUCUUUUUAUGGCUCUAAUAUAGUGGGAUAUCCUCAACAAACUUCUUAUCAGUUUUUAAUGAAUCAAUCACACAUGAUUCUCUUUUUGGUUCU